CACACCCCCAAACGUCCUUGCACAAGUGUCUUCUUGCACACCUCUGCCUUUACACACCCCUUGAAAAAGUGACUUGCCUUGCACACCUUAAAUGUCCUUGCACAAGUGUCUUCUUGCACACCUCCGCCUUUACACGCCCCUUGUAAAAGUGACUCGCCUUGCACACCCCCAAACGUCCUUGCACAAGUGUCCUCUUGCACACC
rnacentral:lncRNA from 1 species